rnacentral:lncRNA from 1 species
GGUAGUUAUCCUAGUAGUAGCUGUAGGGUAGUUUAGUAACUAGUCCGAGACUAUAAAUAGGGAUGGGGGGCUGGUUGUUUCAACAUCUCUCUAAGAACCUCUUCUAUCUAGGGUUGUAGUAGUUCAUUAGCCUCAUAUCUCUAUCUAGUUUAUCUCUCUAGAGGUCCCCAGAUGUUUUGAGCACCGAAUCCAUGUAUUGGACCAAAUUUUGUUGUGGGAAUGGAGGCCCUAACCUUCUCGUGUCCUCCGUGUGUUGGGGGAUGAUGACUUUGUGCGAUUCCCAUUUGUGUUCUUCGCGUUCUUAUUUCUUCCCUACCUCCUUCCUUCACGUUUUUGUUGGAUUCAUGUUUUUUGGGGAGGUUUUGAGUCAAACCGGUCAUUUGGAUAUGAACUAGGACAUGAGUUGAACCUCUCCACCGAAGGGAUUUGAUUGAAACCUCACGAGUUCAUAGAUCAGGGCGAUUCAAUUUUCGGAGUGUGAAAAGGUGUAUUCUUCACAAGAUUUGGAAUUCCCAUUUUUUGACAAAUCUUUGAGGGAUGAUUUCUUAGGAUUAGCUUCUCUACUAUCUUUUGAUACUAUGGUUCAAAUUUUGUGAUUUUUGGAGGUCAUUUGAUCAAGUUUCAGAUUUUUCUUCUCUCCUCAUGAAGGCUGAUGUCUAAGCUGUAGGAAGUUCCGACACUGUGUAGGAAGUUCCG